rnacentral:rRNA from 1 species
UACGUAGGGUGCGAGCGUUAAUCGGAAUACUGGCGUAAAGGCGUGCGCAGGCGGUGAUGUAAGACAGGUGUGAAAUCCCCGGGCUUAACCUGGGAACUGCAUUUGUGACUGCAUCGCUGGAGUGCGGCAGAGGGGGAUGGAAUUCCGCGUGUAGCAGUGAAAUGCGUAGAUAUGCGGAGGAACACCGAUGGCGAAGGCAAUCCCCUGGGCCUGCACUGACGCUCAUGCACGAAGCGUGGGGAGC